AGGAUGAACGCUGGCGGCGUGCUUAACACAUGCAAGUCGAACGAUGAAGGCUGGAGCUUGCUCUGGCUGGAUUAGUGGCGAACGGGUGAGUAACACGUGAGUAACCUGCCCCAGACUCUGGGAUAAGCGCUGGAAACGGCGUCUAAUACCGGAUACGAGCUUCCACCGCAUGGUGAGGAGCUGGGGAAGAAUUUCGGUCUGGGAUGGACUCGCGGCCUAUCAGCUUGUUGGUGAGGUAAUGGCUCACCAAGGCGACGACGGGUAGCCGGCCUGAGAGGGUGACCGGCCACACUGGGACUGAGACACGGCCCAGACUCCUACGGGAGGCAGCAGUGGGGGAAUAUUGCACAAUGGGCGCAAGCCUGAUGCAGCAACGCCGCGUGAGGGACGAAGGCCUUCGGUGUAA
rnacentral:rRNA from 1 species